UACGUAGGGGGCUAGCGUUGUCCGGAUUUAUUGGGCGUAAAGAGCGUGUAGGCGGCCAGGUAGGUCUGGUGUGAAAACUCGAGGCUUAACCUCGAGAUGUCAUCGGAAACCAUCUGGCUAGAGUCCGGAAGAGGAGAGUGGAAUUCCUGGUGUAGCGGUGAAAUGCGCAGAUAUCAGGAAGAACACCAAUGGCGAAGGCGGCUCACUGGACCGGUACUGACGCUGAUGCGCGAAAGCGUGGGGAGCAAACAGG
rnacentral:rRNA from 1 species